rnacentral:rRNA from 1 species
AUUGAACGCUGGCGGCAGGCCUAACACAUGCAAGUCGAACGAGUGGCGGACGGGUGAGUAAUGUCUGGGAAACUGCCCGAUGGAGGGGGAUAACUACGGGAAACAGUAGCUAAUACAGCAUACCAUCGGAUGUGCACAGAUGGGAUUGGCUAGUAGGUGGGGUAACGGCUCACCUCGGAGACGAUCCCUAGCUGGUCUGAGAGGGUGACCAUCCACACUGGAACUGAGACCCGGUCCAGACUCCUACGGGAGGCAGCAGUGGGGAAUAUUGCACAAUGGGCGCAAGCCUGAUGCAGCCAUGCCGCGUGUAUGAAGAAUGCCUUCGGGUUGUAAAGUACUUUCAGCGAGGAGGCGUUACUCGCAGAAGAAGCACCGGCUAACUCCGUGCCAGCAGCUGCGGUAAUUC